rnacentral:rRNA from 1 species
AGCAGCCGCGGUAAUUCCAGCUCCAAUAGCGUAUAUUAAAGUUGUUGCAGUUAAAAAGCUCGUAGUUGAAUUUCGGGAUCAAUAUGUUGGUCGUGCCUUGGUACGUACUGGCAUUAUCGAUUCCUACCUUCUGAAGAACCUCGACGUCAUUAAUUUGGUGUCUUGGGGAAUCAGGACUGUUACUUUGAAAAAAUUAGAGUGUUUAAAGCAGGCUCGCGCUUGAAUACAUUAGCAUGGAAUAAUGAAAUAGGACGUUUGAUUCUAUUUUGUUGGUUUCUAGGAUCGACGUAAUGAUUAAUAGGGAUAGUUGGGGGCAUUAGUAUUCAAUUGUCAGAGGUGAAAUUCUUGGAUUAUUGGAAGAUCUAACUACUGCGAAAGCAUUUGCCAAGGAUGUUUUCAUUAAUCAAGAACGAAAGAUUNGGGGAUCAAGACGAUCAGAUACCGUCGUAGUCUUAACCAUAAACUAUGCCGACUAGGGAUCGGAUGAUGUUAAUUUUUUAAUGACUCAUUCGGCGCCUUA